rnacentral:misc_RNA from 1 species
CUGAAUUGUCAACACGAGUUGUUGCUGGUCUUCAAACGGGGACACGUGCACACUCUGUUCACACAUCCACUCACACCUGUGCACCCUCUGUAGUUCUGUGGCUUGUGGGGCUCUGUCCCCUUGCCGCGGUCCUGCGCCUUUACACACACUCUGUAAUAAAGUCUUAUGGAAUGUAAAUCGCGUCUAACGCAAUACAAUA